rnacentral:pre_miRNA from 1 species
UCUUAUGGAUGUGCAAAAAAAAGUGGCUUCUUAAGACGAAAUUUACUCUUGGUGAAGAUGCUGUGAA